AUCUGGAAGUAUAACAUUGUUGUCAGUAACACACACACACACACACACACACACAUAUUUUGCAGACACGUAUUUGUUCAGUCACAUCAUGAUUAAUACAGAUUUGUUUUCUUAUUAUCGUAUAAAGCUAUAGCUAUUAUUUACUAUCGCUUUGUAUUAUUGUGGGCUUUAAAAUAUCCCAAGCAUUUUAUUUCCUAACUGAAGCAUGUCAAACCCAAAAGGAUAUUUGACAAAUUGCAAAUGACUCAUACCAGUUGAGCAAUACAUGCUAUACUCGAUAAUGAAGGUCGAAUUUAUUCAGUAUUUCUUCUUCUUCUUCUUCUUCUUCUUCUUCUUCUUCUUCGUCUUCUUCUUCUUCUUCUUCUUCUUCUUCAGCAAUCCCGAAGCCAUGCUCAGACAUCCAGAUGUUCUCACCAAGAAGUCUGCUGUCUGUCAAAGGGCCUCCGCCGGUUCCCAACGUUUCUCUUUGAGGUCCACAUGAUACCGCCACGCGGCCAGGUUUCGUGUCUUACAGUAUGUAGACGAGUGCAGUUUAGGGACUCACAACUGUGAUGACGUCAUCUCUUUCUGCAACAACACGAAGGGGUCAUUUGUCUGUAUUUGUAGGAAAAAGGAUUCAACGACGAUGGAUUUGGUUGCUCGGAUAGAGAUGAAUGCAGUUUAGAAACUCAUACAUGUGACAAAUUGACGUCUUUUUGCUCAAACACAUUUGGGUAUUAUACCUAUUCAUGUAAAAUCGGCUUUAUCGAGACUGGAAGAGGAUGCACAGCGGAUGCGUGUUUGACGCCACCCGUGCUGUUUGGUGCUAAAGUGAUUAAAAAGUCAGAAGAUGGGAUGAAGAUCACGUAUGGUUGUAAAGAUGAUUUCAAAUUACAAGAAGGAAAUCCGACAGCAACGUGUUCCAGCCAAACUGGAGUCUGGGAACUCUCUACCAUGAUCUGUGAUCGCAAGUUGUUAUUACCUGCAUUGUAAUCAUCUACAAUGUAUCCAGUUUGUGCUUCUUACAAAUAUUAAGACGACCAGCAACACAUUGAAUAUACAGACACUGAUAUAUUCUAAACAAGAAAAUAUUUUUAAUAUGUAAAUUUAAUCGUAGAAAUAUUUUAUUAGUAGGAAACAUGUUACAAUGCAGCAAACUCAGGAAUGUCCCUUUAAUGUUGUAGGUAGCACCAUGCCAACUAUCAUCUUAACAAGACAAGGUUCAAAGUAAACGCAAGUUUAAACAGAGCAUUAAUAGUGUUCCGCUUGUCACAGAUAACUGAACUUAUUAUAAUGUGUUGCUUAAUUUUUCCACGUAAUUGUUUUAUUUUGAUUGAACUACUAUAUAACGGAUACCACCAGUGGGGCAGGGUAUGCUCAGCUUUCACGAACACCUGAUAUCAUCACUGUUUUAACAGUGAUUCAUGAGUACAUAUCAUCACAACUAUCUUUAUUCCAAUGAGCUCUGUCCUGCGCUAGGUUUGAGUUAGUAAACUGGUCUGGGAGUGGCAGUCUUCCUUUUAGCGAUGUAGGAAGGAUGUAUUGUCCAGUAAACGAUCUCCCGUGGAAUGCAUGUCCUCCUAUAAAUGACGCAAAUGUCCAUUCGACAAGACAAGACAAGACUUUAUUUACACUCGGGCCGUUACACAACGGCAUAGGAAGAAUAUAUACAGAAACAUUUUGAUAUAUACACGUGACAUGAUGGUUGACAGUAAAUACAUGCACAAACACAUAUACAAACAUACAUAUCAGCAUAUUAUGUAAUAAUACAGAUAUUUAAUACAGAUAUACAGGAUAGAUUGUUAACCUUGUAUAUUGUGCAGUGGAUAAUGGUAAUAUUUUAUUAAAUAUGUUUGGUUUUGAUGGUGUUUGUAGUCAAGGGCGUUUGAAUUCAUUAAUUAUUAUAUUUAUGAAAAAUGCUAAUUUCUUUAGGAUACUAAUUCGUUUAUUCUCCAUUUGUUCUCUAAAUUUAUAAGUACUUGGUCGCGUAUAAUAAUAUGGGUGUAGCAAAUGGACUUGAAUUAUGAAAAACAGGCAAAUGAAAAAAUAAUGGAACUCGUCGCCAAUGUCCAUUACAUUACAUAAUGUACAAAUUCUAUCAUCUAUUAGUGUUAUUCCAACGUCCAGUUUCAACGGGUAAGUAAUGGUUAGACGUUCUAAAUUUUAAGUGUGUUGUCCAUAGUUUUUCUGGUAGUUUAUUAAUAUAGCCUUCGAAAAAUAGUUGUUCUUUGUAUAAUCGGUAAGUGUUGCCUCUCGAUGACUGUGAUAUGUUAUUUUAUCAUGUUUGUAAUUUGUUGUGAGACAAUUUACUGAUAUGAAAGAUUGUCUUAUCCAGAUAUCACCAAUUCCCCAGUUAUUCAGUGUGUUUUAACAUUAUUAAUCCAGUUAUAGUUAGUUCUGUUAUUAAGGUGGUCAUUUAACAUAAUUUUGUAUAAAAAAGUAGACUCUACAUUGAAUAGAAAUACGACCGGUCUUCAUCGCAGAUAACGGUUUUGUAGUUCAGAUUGAAUGUGAUGAUAACUUUAUCCUACGGAUCUGAAACAACCUUUUAUGUUCAACCACAAAUGUCGAUUCUGACAUUAACUAUGUCUAUUCAACAGCAACCCAGUGCCAAGCUAAGGUUGAGAAAGAAGCCUUGUACGUCGGGACGAAAUCCACGUAACGAUUUCUUCGUCCGAGGUGCCCUGCUAGAGGUUUGAUUGACAAUACCCUCAUACUCACGCCACGUGGAACAUCUAUCCCUACUAUUUCUACGUCAACAGCAUGUCAGAGGUGAACAAUUACUGUCGGGAUCUCGAGUACGAAGGCGAGGUCUGGUGUUACACGACCCAUAACAACACACGAUGGCAGCGCUGCGAUGUACCCACGUGUAAUCCAGCCCCAAAAUGCAGCGUUGCACCUUUUAUGCAAGGAAGUAAAGUAUUCAUGAAAAAACAUCCAAAUGGCACUGUGACGGCGAAAUAUGAAUGUCAAGAGGACUAGUCCAAGUAAACAAUCUUCUGGUCAUGUCUAUUGAUGAUAGCGACUGGAAAUUGGAACAUGAUAUAAUCUGUGCUCUCCGACUCUUUGUCCAUCUGACGCAGUGAACGCCUCACCCGAGCUGACAGUUCGAUG